rfam:Gossypium arboreum cultivar AKA8401 contig_59443_1, whole genome shotgun sequence.
CUUGGUAUUCUUCCACAGCUUUCUUGAACUGCAACUUCGUCAUAGAUCGUUGGUUGCCUGUUGUUGUUAAUGGUGCAUCCAUGUGGGCGGUAUACGGCUAUUUUUUUUGCGGUUCAAUAAAGCUGUGGGAAGAUACACACA